rnacentral:lncRNA from 10 species
CAAUUCUUCUGCCUCAGCCUCCCGAGUAGCUGGGAUUACAGGCAUGCGCCACCAUGCCCAGCUAAUUUUGUAAUUUUAAUAGAGACAGGGUUUCUCCAUGUUGGUCAGGCCGGUCUCGAACUCCUGACCUCAGGUGAUCUGCCUGCCUUGGCCUCCCAAAGUGCUGGGAUUACAGGCGUGAGCCACUGCGCCCGGCCACAGUCUUUCUUUUAAUAUCUAUCCAUAACUAAGGGCCAGCUACUGUUCAUAGGGAAGAUUUUUCACACAAACCAAUGAGAAAAUUCACAGUAACGAGAAGAAAGUACUCAAGUUUGGAUCCUGGUUAAACCUUACACAGCCUCAGUAGAUCAACUUGGUCUGUCUAAAUCAAUGGUACUGAAGAUAUUUACUGUGCAUCUACCAUAUACCAGAUAUAGUCGCUGUGAUGGUUAAUAUUCAGUGUCAACUUGAUUGGAUUGAAGGAUGCAAAGUAUUGUUCCUGGGUGUGUCUGUGAAGGUGUUGCCAAAGGAGAUUAACACUGGAAUCAGUGGACUGGGAAAGGCAGACCCACCCUCAAUCUGGGUGGGCACCAUCUAAUCAGCUGCCAGCACAGCCAGAAUAAAAGCAGGCAGAAGAACGUGAAGAAACUAGACUGGCUGAGUCUCCCAGCCUACAUCUUUCUCCUGUGCUGGAUGUCUCCUGCUCUCCAACAUUGGAAUCCAAGUUCUUCAGCUUUGGGACUUGGACUGGCUUCCUUGCUCCUCAGCUUACAGACGGUCUAUUGUGGGACCUACAAACUCCCCUUUAUAUAUACAUCUAUCCUAUUAGUUCUGUCCCCCUAGAGAAUCCUGACUAAUAUAGUCACCACACUGUCCAAUAUGACAGGCAGUAGUCACACGUGGCCAUUAAGAAUUUGAAAUGGCACUAGUACAAACUGAGAUAUACGGUAAGCAUAAGAUAUACACUAGAUUCUGAAAACAAAAGAAUGUGCAGGCCAGGUGCGAUGGCACACGCUUGUAAUCCCAGCACUUUGGGAGGCUGAGGCGGGCGGAUCACGAGGUCAGGAGAUCGAGACCAUCCUGGACAACAUGGUGAAACCCCGUCUCUACUAAAAAUACAAAAAUUAGCUGGGCGUGGUGGCACAUGCCUGUAAUCCCAGCUACUCGGGAGGCUGAGGCAGCAGAAUCACUUGAACCAGGGAGUCAGAAGUUGCAGUGAGCCGAGAUUGCGCCACUGCACUCCAGCCCAGGCAACAGAGCAAGACUUGUUUCAAAAAAAAAAAAAAAAAAAAGAAUGUACAAAAGAAAGUAAAGCAUCUCUAUAAUUUUUUAUAUGUAUUAUAUGUUGAGAUAAUAUUUCACAUAAAUCAGAUGAAAUAAAAUAUAUUAUUAAAAUUAAAUUCACUUUUCUUUUUACUUUGUCUUAAUGCAACUAGAAAUAUUUAAAUAUAAUGAAGGCACAGCAUACAUCUAUUGGAUAGAGCUAUUCAAUAGAGGUUUUAUU